rnacentral:rRNA from 1 species
AAACCAGCACCUCAAGUGGUCAGGAUGAUUAUUGGGCCUAAAGCAUCCGUAGCCUGUUCUGUAAGUUUCCGGUUAAAUCCAUUAGCUCAACUAAUGGGCCGCCGAAAAUACUGCAAAACUAGGGAGUGGGAGAGGUAGACGGUACUCGGUAGGAAGGGGUAAAAUCCUUUGAUCUAUUGAUGACCACCUGUGGCGAAGGCGGUCUACCAGAACACGUUCGACGGUGAGGGAUGAAAGCUGGGGGAGCAAACCGGAUUAGAUACCCGGGUAGUCC